rnacentral:rRNA from 1 species
UGGCGGACGGGUGAGUAAUGUCUGGGAAACUGCCUGAUGGAGGGGGGUAACUACUGGAAACGGUAGCUAAUACCGCAUAACGUCGCAAGACCAAGAGGGGACCUUCGGGCCUCUUGCCAUCGGAUGUGCCCAGAUGGGAUUAGCUAGUAGGUGGGGUAACGGCUCACCUAGGCGACGAUCCCUAGCUGGUCUGAGAGGAUGACCAGCCACACUGGAACUGAGACACGGUCCAG